AAGGAACAUCACUUUACAUCUUUUUUUUAUAUGAAUGUAUUUUAUUUUCGGGCUACUCUUAAUGUUGAAGCCAUAGUCUUGGAUCUUGAAGAUUCACAAAGAAAUCCUGUAAAGAUCGAAGCUUUAUCACAUAUGAGCAAUCUUAGACUGCUCAUAUUUUGUAAUGUUAAAUUUUUUGGUGUCCUAAAACAUCUUUCAAAACAGCUCGAACACAUUACAUGGCACAGAUAUCCUUUCGCUUCUUUGCCAUCAAGUUUUAAACCAUGUCAUCUGGCAGACUUGAUUUUACCUAAUAGCUGCAUCAUAAGCAUAUGGGAUGAAGAAAAGGCACCUGAUAGUUGCAUCACGAGUGAAUGUGAAGAAGGAAAGGAAUUUUCUAGCUUGAAGAAUAUGAAUCUUAGUGGGUCCACAGAUUUAAUGAAGAUGCCAAAUUUCAAAGGACUUCCAUGUUUAGAGAAGCCAGAGCUUGAAGGAUGUACUAAAUUAAAUUACCACAGCUUGAUCCAUUUAUUGCUUCUCUUUCAACACUCGGAUUCUUAAAUUUGAGAAAUUGUAGUAAUUUAGUUAGUAUUCCCCAUGAUUUAUUUUCUCUACACUCUUUAGAAAUGCUAAAUUUAGCUUGUUGCUCCAAAUUUGCAUAUUGUUUUGAGGUUUUGUCCUUUUGAGGAGCUUGGUGAAAGAGAAAGUACUCCUCAACAAUCAUUUCUUUGCAAGAGACAAAAACUAUGUAGACAAAAAUCCAUUUAAGUGUAUUUGGUAUUCAGGAAUAUUAUAUCAUACAUUUGAUUCAUUUUGGAGUUA